rnacentral:rRNA from 1 species
AUGAAACUCACAGGGUUCCCCCUAGUAGCGGCGAGCGAAGCGGGAAGAGCUCAAAUUUAUAAUCUGGCACCUUCGGUGUCCGAGUUGUAAUCUCUAGAAGUGUUUUCCGCGUUGGACCGCACACAAGUCUGUUGGAAUACAGCGGCAUAGUGGUGAAACCCCCGUAUAUGGUGCGGACGCCCAGCGCUUUGUGAUACACUUUCAAUGAGUCGAGUUGUUUGGGAAUGCAGCUCAAAUUGGGUGGUAAAUUCCAUCUAAAGCUAAAUAUUGGCGAGAGACCGAUAGCGAACAAGUACCGUGAGGGAAAGAUGAAAAGCACUUUGGAAAGAGAGUUAACAGUACGUGAAAUUGUUGGAAGGGAAACGCUUGAAGUCAGACUUGCUUGCCGGAGCUUGCUUCGGUUUGCAGGCCAGCAUCAGUUUUCCGGGGUGGAUAAUAACGGUUUGAAGGUAGCAGUCUCGGCUGUGUUAUAGCUUUCCGUUGGAUACAUCCUGGGGGACUGAGGAACGCAGCGUGCUUUUUGCGAAAGACUCGUCUUUUUCACACUUAGGAUGCGGGAAUG